rnacentral:lncRNA from 1 species
AUGCCUCCCCCAUCCUCCCCAGAACCCCUCCCCCUUCCUGCCCAGCCUUCGCCCCAUCCUCACACACGUACGCACCCCCAUCCACCCCAGGACCCCUCGCCCCAUCCUCACACAUGUAUUCCUCCCCCAUCGACGCCAGCACCCAUCGCCCCAUCCUCACACAUGUAUCCCUCCCCCAUCGACACCAGCACCCAUCGCCCCAUCCUCACACAUGUAUCCCUCCCCAUCCAUCCCAGCACCCAUCGCCCCAUCCUCACACAUGUAUCCCUUCCCAUCCACCCCAGCACCCAUCGCCCCAUCCUCACACAUGUAUCCCUCCCACAUCCACCCCAGCACCCCUCACCCCAUCCUCACACAUAUAUCCCUAGCCCCAUCCACCCCAGCACCCUUCACCCCAUCCUCACAUAUGUAUCCCUCCCCCAUGCACCCCAGUACCCAUUGCCCCAUCCUCACACAUGUAUCCCUCCCCAUCAACCCCAGCACCCGUCGCCCCAUCCUCACACACGUAUCCCUCCCCCAUCCACCCCAGCACCCUGGCCCCAUCCUCACAGAUGUAUCCCUCCCCAUCCACCCCAGCACCCAUCGCCCCAUCCUCACACACGUAUCCCUCCCCCAUCCACCCCAGCACCCUGGCCCCAUCCUCACACAUGUAUCCCUCCCCCAUCCACCCCAGCACCCAUCGCCCCAUCCUCACACAUGUACGCCUCCCCCACCCCCCCAGCACCCAUCGCCCCAUCCUCACACAUGUAUCGCUCCCCCAUCCACCCCAGCACCCCUCGCCCCAUCCUCACACAUGUAUCCCUCCCCCAUGCACCCCAGCACCCAUCGCCCCAUCAUCACACAUGUAUCCCUCCCCUUUCCACCCCAGCAUCUAUCACCCCAUCCUCACACAUGUAUCCCUCCCCAUCAACCCCAGCACCCGUCGCCCCAUCCUCACACACGUAUCCCUCCCCCAUCCACCCCAGCACCCUGGCCCCAUCCUCACAGAUGUAUCCCUCCCCAUCCACCCCAGCACCCAUCGCCCCAUCCUCACACACGUAUCCCUCCCCCACCCCCCCAGCACCCAUCGCCCCAUCCUCACACAUGUAUCGCUCCCCCAUCCACCCCAGCACCCCUCGCCCCAUCCUCACACAUGUAUCCCUUCCCCAUCCACCCCAGCACCCCUCACCCCAUCCUCACACGUAUCCCUCCCUCAUCCACCCCAGCACCCAUCGCCCCAUCCUCACACAUGUAUGCCUCCCCCAUCCCCCUCAGCACCCAUCGCCCCAUCCUCACACAUGUAUCCCUUCCCAUCCACCCCAGCACCCAUCGCCCCAUCCUCACACAUGUAUCCCUCCCACAUCCACCCCAGCACCCUUCACCCCAUCCUCACAUAUGUAUCCCUCCCCCAUCCACCCCAGCACCCAUCGCCCCAUCCUCACACAUGUAUCCCUCCCCCAUCCAUACCCAGCACCCCUCACCCCAUCCUCACACAUGUAUCCCUCCCCAUCCACCCCAGCACCGCUCUCCCCAUCCUCACACAUGUAUCCCUCCCCCAUGCACCCCAGCACCCUUCACCCCAUCCUCACACAUGUAUCCCUCCCCCAUCCACUCCAGCACCCCUCACCCCAUCCUCACACAUGUAUCCCUCCCCCAUGCACCCCAGCACCCUUCACCCCAUCCUCACACAUGUAUCCCUCCCACAUCCACCCCAGCACCCAUCGCCCCAUCAUCACACAUGUAUCCCUCCCCUAUCCACCCCAGCAUCUAUCACCCCAUCCUCACACAUGUAUCCCUCCCACAUCCACCCCAGCACCCCUCACCCUAUCCUCACACAUGUAUCCCUCCCCCAUGCACCCCAGCACCAUUGCUCCAUCCUCACACAUGUAUCCCUCCCCAUCCACCCCAGCACCAUCGCCCCAUCCUCACACAUGUAUCCCUCCCCCAUCCACCUCAGCACCCAUCGCCCCAUCCUCACACAUGUAUCCCUCCCCCAUCCACCCCAGCACCCAUCGCCCCAUCCUCACACAUGUAUCCCUCCCCAUCCACUCCAGCACCCAUCGCCCCAUCAUCACACAUGUAUCGCUCCCCAUCCACCCCAGCACCCCUCACCCCAUCCUCACACAUGUAUCCCUAGCCCCAUCCACCCCAGCACCCCUCACCCCAUCCUCACACAUGUAUCCCUCCCCCAUGCACCCCAGUACCCAUUGCCCCAUCCUCACACAUGUAUCCCUCCCCUUUCCACCCCAGCAUCUAUCACCCCAUCCUCACACAUGUAUCCCUCCCCCAUGCACCCCAGCACCCAUCGCCCCAUCAUCACACAUGUAUCCCUCCCCUUUCCACCCCAGCAUCUAUCACCCCAUCCUCACACAUGUAUCCCUCCCCCAUCCACCCCAGCACCCCUCGCCCCAUCCUCACACAUGUAUCCCUCCCCAUCCACCCCAGCACCAUUGCUCCAUCCUCACACAUGUAUCCCUCCCCAUCCACCCCAGCACCAUCGCCCCAUCCUCACGCAUGUACCCCUCCCCCAUCCACCCCAGCACCGCUCUCCCCAUCCUCACACAUGUAUCCCUCCCCCAUCCACCCCAGCACCCCUCGCCCCAUCCUCACACAUGUAUCGCUCCCCAUCCACCCCAGCACCCAUCGCCCCAUCCUCACACAUGUACCCCUCCCCCAUCCACCCCAGCACCCCUCGCCCCAUCCUCACACAUGUAUCCCUCCCCAUCCACCCCAGCACCGCUCUCCCCAUCCUCACACAUGUAUCCCUCCCCAUCCACUCCAGCACCCAUCGCCCCAUCAUCACACAUGUAUCGCUCCCCAUCCACCCCAGCACCCAUCGCCCCAUCCUCACACAUGUACCCCUCCCCCAUCCACCCCAGCACCCAUCGCCCCAUCCUCACACAUGUAUCCCUCCCCAUCCACUCCAGCACCGCUCUCCCCAUCCUCACACAUGUAUCCCUCCCCCAUGCACCCCAGCACCCCUCACCCCAUCCUCACACAUGUAUCCCUAGCCCCAUCCACCCCAGCACCCCUCACCCCAUCCUCACACAUGUAUCCCUCCCCCAUGCACCCCAGCACCCAUCGCCCCAUCAUCACACAUGUAUCCCUCCCCUUUCCACCCCAGCAUCUAUCACCCCAUCCUCACACAUGUAUCCCUCCCCCAUCCACCCCAGCACCCCUCGCCCCAUCCUCACACAUGUAUCCCUCCCCAUCCACCCCAGCACCCAUCGCCCCAUCCUCACACAUGUAUCCCUCCCCAUCCACCCCAGCACCAUCGCCCCAUCCUCACACAUGUAUCCCUCCCCCAUCCACCCCAGCACCCCUCGCCCCAUCCUCACACAUGUAUCCCUCCCCAUCCACCCCAGCACCAUUGCUCCAUCCUCACACAUGUAUCCCUCCCCAUCCACCCCAGCACCAUCGCCCCAUCCUCACACAUGUACCCCUCCCCCAUCCACCCCAGCACCGCUCUCCCCAUCCUCACACAUGUAUCCCUCCCCAUCCACUCCAGCACCGCUCUCCCCAUCCUCACACAUGUAUCCCUCCCCCAUGCACCCCAGCACCGCUCUCCCCAUCCUCACACAUGUAUCCCUCCCCCAUCCACCCCAGCACCCCUCGCCCCAUCCUCACACAUGUAUCGCUCCCCAUCCACCCCAGCACCCCUCACCCCAUCCUCACACAUGUAUCCCUCCCCCAUGCACCCCAGUACCCAUUGCCCCAUCCUCACACAUGUAUCCCUCCCCUUUCCACCCCAGCAUCUAUCACCCCAUCCUCACACAUGUAUCCCUCCCCCAUGCACCCCAGCACCCAUCGCCCCAUCAUCACACAUGUAUCCCUCCCCAUCCACCCCAGCACCAUUGCUCCAUCCUCACACAUGUAUCCCUCCCCAUCCACCCCAGCACCAUCGCCCCAUCCUCACGCAUGUACCCCUCCCCCAUCCACCCCAGCACCGCUCUCCCCAUCCUCACACAUGUAUCCCUCCCCCAUCCACCCCAGCACCCCUCGCCCCAUCCUCACACAUGUAUCGCUCCCCAUCCACCCCAGCACCCAUCGCCCCAUCCUCACACAUGUACCCCUCCCCCAUCCACCCCAGCACCCCUCGCCCCAUCCUCACACAUGUAUCCCUCCCCAUCCACCCCAGCACCGCUCUCCCCAUCCUCACACAUGUAUCCCUCCCCAUCCACUCCAGCACCCAUCGCCCCAUCAUCACACAUGUAUCGCUCCCCAUCCACCCCAGCACCCAUCGCCCCAUCCUCACACAUGUAUCCCUCCCCAUCCACUCCAGCACCGCUCUCCCCAUCCUCACACAUGUAUCCCUCCCCCAUGCACCCCAGCACCCCUCACCCCAUCCUCACACAUGUAUCCCUAGCCCCAUCCACCCCAGCACCCCUCACCCCAUCCUCACACAUGUAUCCCUCCCCCAUGCACCCCAGCACCCAUCGCCCCAUCAUCACACAUGUAUCCCUCCCCAUCCACCCCAGCAUCUAUCACCCCAUCCUCACACAUGUAUCCCUCCCCCAUCCACCCCAGCACCCCUCGCCCCAUCCUCACACAUGUAUCCCUCCCCAUCCACCCCAGCACCCAUCGCCCCAUCCUCACACAUGUAUCCCUCCCCAUCCACCCCAGCACCAUCGCCCCAUCCUCACACAUGUACCCCUCCCCCAUCCACCCCAGCACCAUCGCCCCAUCCUCACACAUGUAUCCCUCCCCCAUCCACCCCAGCACCCCUCGCCCCAUCCUCACACAUGUAUCCCUCCCCAUCCACCCCAGCACCAUUGCUCCAUCCUCACACAUGUAUCCCUCCCCAUCCACCCCAGCACCAUCGCCCCAUCCUCACACAUGUACCCCUCCCCCAUCCACCCCAGCACCGCUCUCCCCAUCCUCACACAUGUACCCCUCCCCCAUCCACCCCAGCACCCCUUGCCCAGCGCCUCAAGCACUCCCCUUACCCCCAUCUGCAUGCAUAUACCCUUUUCCACAUACAUGAUGCUCCCCUCAGCAUUCUUUCAGUGCCCCCCCGCCCGUGCCCUUUGCCUCCCCACCAGUCGCCAGGCAGCUCACCAGCGUAAGGCACCUGGCCAUGUGGCUGCCGUGCCCUGA